rnacentral:piRNA from 1 species
UUAUUUUUGAAUAAGGACAGUCCUUGGGCA